rnacentral:snoRNA from 1 species
CUGCAUCUACUGAUAGACCUUGAACAAAUUGUUGUUCUUUUGGUUUGCACUAGGAUGCAGAAGAAAAAACUCCCUGCACUUUCUGCCUUUGUGGCAGCCCAGAUUGAAUAGGGGAAUAUAUAU